GCCUAGUUAGCUUAGUUGGUAGUGCGUCUGCCUUGUAAGCGCUAGGCCGCGGGUUCGAUUCCCGCCCGAAGUG
rnacentral:tRNA from 1 species